GGAGAGGUGCCAGAGCGGCCGAUUGGGUACGCUUGGAAAGCGUAUGUACCCGUAAGGGUACCCAGGGUUCGAAUCCCUGCCUCUCCGCCA
rnacentral:tRNA from 1 species